CGGGGUGUAGCGCAGUUGGUAGCGCGCUUGGUUCGGGACCAAGAAGCCGUGGGUUCAAAUCCCGUCACUCCGACCA
rnacentral:tRNA from 1 species